UGACCCAGCAACGCCGCGUGUGCGACGAAGGUCUUCGGAUCGUAAAGCACUCUUCUGGGAGAUGAGAAAGGACAGUAUCCCAGGAAUAAGUCUCGGCUAACUACGUGCCAGCAGCCGCGGUAAAACGUAGGAGACGAGCGUUAUCCGGAUUUACUGGGCGUAAAGCGCGUGCAGGCGGCUUGGCAAGUUGGAUGUGAAAUCUCCCGGCUCAACUGGGAGGGGUCGUUCAAAACUACCGAGCUAGAGGAUGGUAGAGGAAGGUGGAAUUCCCGGUGUAGUGGUGAAAUGCGUAGAUAUCGGGAGGAACACCAGUGGCGAAAGCGGCCUUCUGGACCAUUCCUGACGCUCAGACGCGAAAGCUAGGGGAGCGAACGGGAUUAGAGACCCCGGUAGUCCUAGCUGUAAACGAUGCAAACUUGGCGUCGGUGGGUUAAAAACCAUCGGUGCCGAAGCUAACGCGAUAAGUUUGCCGCCUGGGGACUACGGCCGCAAGGUUA
rnacentral:rRNA from 1 species